rnacentral:rRNA from 1 species
CAGCCGCCACGGUAAAACGAAGGGUGCAAGCGUUAAUCGGAAUUACUGGGCGUAAAGGGUGCGUAGGCGGUUGUUUAAGUCUGUUGUGAAAUCCCCGGGCUCAACCUGGGACCUGCAUUUGUGACUGUAUAGCUAGAGUACGGUAGAGGGGGAUGGAAUUCCGCGUGUAGCAGUGAAAUGCGUAGAUAUGCGGAGGAACACCGAUGACGAAGGCAAUCCCCUGGACCUGUACUGACGCUCAUGCACGAAAGCGUGGGGAGCAAACAGGAUUAGAUACCCCCGUAGUCCCUGUCUCUUAUAC